GGUGGUUCAGUGGUAGAGCGUUUGCCUUGCAUGCAUGAGGGCCUGGGUUCAAUUCCUCAGCACCA
rnacentral:tRNA from 1 species